rnacentral:tRNA from 1 species
GUGUACUUAGCUCAGUAUUUAGAGUGUCCGCCUAGUGUUUGGAGGUUGCAGGUUCAAAUCCUGCAGUGUGCA